rnacentral:rRNA from 2 species
GAUGAACGCUAGCUACAGGCUUAACACAUGCAAGUCGAGGGGCAGCAUGGAAGAAGCUUGCUUCUUCUGAUGGCGACCGGCGCACGGGUGCGUAACGCGUAUCAAACCUGCCUCAUACUCGGGGAUAGCCUUGCGAAAGUAAGAUUAAUACCCGAUGUUGUUAUGUUACCGCAUGGUGACAUAACCAAAGAUUUAUCGGUAUGAGAUGGUGAUGCGUCCGAUUAGGUAGUAGGCGGGGUAACGGCCCACCUAGCCUUCGAUCGGUAGGGGUUCUGAGAGGAAGGUCCCCCACACUGGAACUGAGACACGGUCCAGACUCCUACGGGAGGCAGCAGUGAGGAAUAUUGGUCAAUGGACGCAAGUCUGAACCAGCCAAGUAGCGUGCAGGAUGACGGCCCUCUGGGUUGUAAACUGCUUUUAGUUGGGAAUAAAAAAGAGGACGUGUCCUCUAUUGUAUGACCUCAGAAAAAGACCGCA